UACAGAGGGUGCAAGCGUUAAUCGGAAUUACUGGGCGUAAAGCGUGCGUAGACGGUUAUGUAAGUCAGGUGUGAAAGCCCAGGGCUCAACCUUGGAAUUGCAUUUGAGACUGCAUAGCUAGGGUGCGGAAGAGGGAAGCGGAAUUUCCGGUGUAGCGGUGAAAUGCGUAGAUAUCGGAAGGAACACCAGUGGCGAAAGCGGCUUCCUGGUCCAGCACCGACGUCAGGCACGAAAGCGUGGGGAGCAAACAGG
rnacentral:rRNA from 1 species